GUUUGAUAUUAAUGGCACGUAUACACAAACACUCCCACGUUUUUUCGACUCGCCUCUGUUGUAAAAAACAAACAGAUCACACAAAUGUUGCGCUUUAUCGGUGCUGCCUACAGUACGCUGAGAGAAAAUACAAUUAUUUAAAAAAUGGUUCUAAUGAGAACUCAUAAGAAAGAACUCCUCCUAUUGUGUCAAAUGGAAAAUUUGAUUAAUGUUUAUUCAAUACAGGACGUCGUUUUCGUCUUGGGUUGUAUUUCCUGGAACCUUUCUACUUCCUGCUCUUACGUCUGGACUUUCCUUCCUGGGUUGUACUGUAGUUCCUAGACCAGUUUUACUUCCUGCUCCUGGGUCAGUACUUCCUGGGUUGUACUGUAGUUCCUAGAUCAGUUUUACUUCCUGCUCCUGGGUCAGUACUUCCUGGUUGUACUGUAGUUCCUAGAUCAGUUUUACUUCCUGCUCCUGGGUCAGUACUUCCUGGUUGUACUGUAGUUCCUAGAUCAGUUUUACUUCCUGCUCCUGGGUCAGUACUUCCUGGUUGUACUGUAGUUCCUCGAUCAGUUUUACUUCCUGCUCCUGGGUCAGUACUUCCUGGGUUGUACUAUAGUUCCUAGAUCAGUUUUACUUCCUGCUCCUGGGUCAGUACUUCCUGGGUUGUACUAUAGUUCCUAGAUCAGUUUUACUUCCUGCUCCUGGGUCAGUACUUCCUGGGUUGUACUAUAGUUCCUAGAUCAGUUUUACUUCCUGCUCCUGGGUCAGUACUUCCUGGGUUGUACUGUAGUUCCUCGAUCAGUUUUACUUCCUGCUCCUGGGUUAGUACUUCCUGGGUUGUACUGUAGUUCCUAGACCAGUUUUACUUCCUGCUCCUGGGUUAGUACUUCCUGGGUUGUACUGUAGUUCCUAGAUCAGUUUUACUUCCUGCUCCUGGGUCAGUACUUCCUGGUUGUACUGUAGUUCCUAGACCAGUUUUACUUCCUGCUCCUGGGUUAGUACUUCCUGGGUUGUACUUUAGUUCCUUGAUCAGUUUUACUUCCUGCUCCUGGGUCAGUACUUCCUGGGUUGUACUGUAGUUCCUAGACCAGUUUUACUUCCUGCUCCUGGGUCAGUACUUCCUGGGUUGUACUGUAGUUCCUCGAUCAGUUUUACUUCCUGCUCCUGGGUCAGUACUUCCUGGGUUUGUACUGUAGUUCCUAGACCAGUUUUACUUCCUGCUCCUGGGUCAGUACUUCCUGGGUUGUACUGUAGUUCCUCGAUCAGUUUUACUUCCUGCUCCUGGGUUAGUACUUCCUGGGUUGUACUGUAGUUCCUAGAUCAGUUUUACUUCCUGCUCCUGGGUCAGUACUUCCUGGGUUGUACUGUAGUUCCUAGAUCAGUUUUACUUCUUGCUCCUGGGUCAUACUUCCUGGGUUGUACUGUAGUUCCUUGAUCAGUUUUAUUUCCUGCUCCUGGGUCAGUACUUCCUGGGUUGUACUGUAGUUCCUAGACCAGUUUUACUUCCUGUUCCUGGGUCAGCAAUUUUCCUCUUGCGUUGUAGUUCCUGGAAUAUUUUUACUUCUUGCUUUCAAGUCAGUACUUUUGUACAGAACAGGAACUAUAGGGGUGGAGCUUUCUGCUCUGAACGUUGCUGAUUGGACAAAAGCAAGCGAGUCUUUCAUGUUCACUUUGUUGUAACCAUCUCACAUUUCGGAUCACUUGCUAUUUUUGCAUAUACGGUGGUCACGAUCCGUGGUGGAAAUGCGGAACAGGAACUCACUCGUCCGGCAAUUGUGGAGUUCUUCUUCAGGAGGGUUCCUCGGAGGUUCCUGAAGGAAUUUUCGUCCAAUAUGACCUCAAUAUAGUAAAGCAAGUUUGAAAGACAAAGCUGAACCGGCAUACUACUGGAUUUGAUAUGUGGUGGCUGUAAUGAAUGUCGGAGAAUCGAGCGAAGGUCUACAGCAACAGAACGAUCAUGGAACAUGGAAGCUACUCAGCAAUCCCGUCUUCCCGAGAUAGAAGGUAAAACGCGGGAGGAGGGGAAAAAAAACACGAUUUUUUUUUUUUACCCUGGCCUUGUAGCCUCUUGCCUUCCCCUGUCCUUUUCUUUUUCCUUUCUAUCCCUUCUUAACGCGCAGUUGCCAGCAGGGUCAGGAACCCGGGAUGAGUGGAACUCAUUAUAGAGUCCCCUCAUUUCCAUUCAGAGCGGGACCCUCAGAGCAACAGGGACCGGGAGCUGCAUUCAGCACAGCACAGCAGCG
ensembl:lncRNA